rnacentral:lncRNA from 1 species
UUUAGUCUGUAGUGCCUUUGCAUUAUUACCAUGGCCAUUAAGUAUACCAAGCAUGAAUGGUGCCCUAGACAUUAACUGUGAAGUGAGGCUACACCUCCAUCCCCAAAGGAAGAAUCUGCUGAACCUAUUGACCUUCCAUCUCUUGCCUGGCUGCUUCUGUCUGAUCAUCCUAAUCGAGCCACUCUUGUCCAUGGAUUGAACUUGGGUCCUUGUGCUUGCGAGACAGAGGGUGGAACCACUGAGCUAAAUCCCCGGCCCAGCAUUGGUCCUUAUAACAAGCAGGCACAGAAGACGGCAGUAAGUUACAUUACCAAGAAACAGGCUGACCUCACAUCUAAACUGUCCUAUCAAAA